GGGAUAGGAUGAUGGUGAUUUGAUUCACGAAAUGAAAGAAAGCACGAGGAAGGCGAUUUUGCGGUGAUAAUCGAAGUGAUAACGUGCAGCUCAGCCAAACAUCGGUGAUUCUCCGUGAAGUGUGACCUCAUCGGCCGCGAGCAGAAUUUCCGAAGAAAAAAAAGCAGCUGAAAAAAGUGUCGGUUUUUUCGUGUUUUGUAAAUUUGUCGUGCGUGAAAGUGCGCGAGAGGAAAAUCGCCGAAAAUCAGUGUGUGUCCGUUUGUGUCUUUUUUUUUGUUUGGUCUAACCGAGCACGAUUGUUUCGUGAAUUUCGUGAGCGAGUGCGGAGAGAAGUGUUUGCUUUUUGGCUCGAAAAGCAAUCAGCACCGAAAAGUGAAGGGGCGCCAGCAAGGAGAAACC